rnacentral:rRNA from 1 species
GUGGGGAAUAUUGCACAAUGGGGGAAACCCUGAUGCAGCGACGCCGCGUGGAGGAAGAAGGUCUUCGGAUUGUAAACUCCUGUUGUUGAGGAAGAUAAUGACGGUACUCAACAAGGAAGUGACGGCUAACUACGUGCCAGCAGCCGCGGUAAAACGUAGGUCACAAGCGUUGUCCGGAAUUACUGGGUGUAAAGGGAGCGCAGGCGGGAGAACAAGUUGGAAGUGAAAUCCAUGGGCUCAACCCAUGAACUGCUUUCAAAACUGUUUUUCUUGAGUAGUGCAGAGGUAGGCGGAAUUCCCGGUGUAGCGGUGGAAUGCGUAGAUAUCGGGAGGAACACCAGUGGCGAAGGCGGCCUACUGGGCACCAACUGACGCUGAGGCUCGAAAGUGUGGGUAGCAAACAGGAUUAGAUACCCCAGUAGUCC